AAUACUCAACAUAAAAGCAUACGGCGGAUGCCUUGGUCGAAAGUACCGAUAAAGGGCGUACACGGCAACGAUAUCCUGUGGGGAGCUGCCACGAAGCUAUGAUCCACAGAUGCCCGAAUGGGGAAACCCGAUCUUUAUAGAUCACCUCCUGCUGAAGCAUAAGCAAAGCUUGCUUUGCUGUGCAAAGUAAGCAGGAAGGGGGGUACGCGCUGAACUGAAACAUCUAAGUAAGCGCAGGAAAAGAAAGCAAAAGCGAUUCCCUUAGUAGUGGCGAGCGAAAAGGGAGCAGUCUAAACCACGUUCAUGCGCAAGCACUGAACGUGGGGUUGUGAGGCCACGAUAUAGGAUGUAAGAAGAAUAGUAGAAUCCACUGGAAAGUGGAGCCAAAGAGGGUGAUAGCCCCGUAAACGAAAUUUUACUUACCCUUAGUGGUUCCUCAAGUAGCCCGGGACACGUGUAAUCCCGGGUGAAUCUGGGUCGACCUUGAUCCAAGACUAAAUAUACUUUCGGACCGAUAGUGAACUAGUACCGCGAGGGAAAGGUGAAAAGAAGGGCGAAAUGCCCUGUGAAAUAGUACCUGAAACCGUAUGCUGUCAAGCUGUGGAAGCACUGAGCCGCAAGGCGAAGUAUGACCGCGUGCCUAUUGAAGAAUGAACCGGUGAGUUAUCGUAUGUGCCAAGUUUAAUCAGCAAUGGCUGAGAAGGCGUAGUGAAAGCGAGCCCUAACUGGGCGUCUAGGCGCAUAUGUUAGACCCGAAACCGAGUGAGCUAACCAUGUCCAGGGUGAAGAUCUCCGAAAGGUGAUUGGAAGCCCGAACUCGUGACUGUUGCAAUAGUCUGGGAUGAGGUGUGGUUAGAGGUGAUAUGCCAAUCGAACUCGGAGAUAGCUGGUUCUCCCCGAAAUAUAUCUAGGUAUAGCCCUGUGCAAUCAAAUGAGGGGUAGAGCUCUGGAUGGAUCUGGGUGCCGCAAGGUAUUCAAUCCAAUCAAACUUCAAAUACUCAUUUGUGUAGCAGGAGUCAGUCCGAUCCGGCUAAGCGGAGCGGUCCUGAGGGAAACAACCCAGACCGAUAGUUAAGGUCCCUAAAUACAGACUAAGUGUCAAAGGAUGUAAGUUUCCUUAGACAGCCAGGAAGUUGGCUUAGAAGCAGCCAUCUUUUAAAGAAAGCGUAACAGCUCGCUGGUCUAGUCACGGAGACUUGCGCCGACAAUUUAUCGGGGCUAAGUCUGUUACCGAAACUACGGAUCAAGUCCGGAUUUCAGAGUUCGGAUGUCAGAUUUCGGAUAUGUUAAAAUGAAUUUAAUGCAGGAUGUAAGUGAUCUACACGUCUAUCAGCACUCAAUGAGAUUGUUAGAUGAGAUAAAUCGUUUUCUAGAUCAGUUACCAAGUAAGGAUAGAGAUCUCUUUCAUCAAAUAUUGAGAGCCGCUAGAUCUAUUCCCGCCUUACUUGCUGAAGGAUUUGCUAAAAAGUCAUCACAAAAGGACUUUCGUCACUUUGUGAUCAUGGCGAUGGGUUCUUCAGAUGAGGUCAUUACCCAUCUAAGAAUAGCAAAGGCAGAUCCUCGGCUAAUUGAGGAAUACAAAGUUGUAUCUAAGCAACUUAAUAGAUUAGCUCAGUCUCUUAAUUCUGAAGCUAAACAGUUGCUGGAUCAAAUAAUUCAUAAACAAUCUGAUUUCUGAUAUCUGAUUUCCGAUAUCCGGGCUUGGUGGUAGGGGAGCGUUCAAAAUGGAGCGAAGCUGUGCUGUGAGGCGUGGUGGACUGUUUUGAAGUGAGAAUGCCGGUAUGAGUAGCGUUUCAGACUGAGAAUGUCUGACGCCGAAUGCCCAAGGUUUCGCAAGCAAUGUUCGUCAGCUUGCGGUUAAUCGGUUACUAAGGCGAGGCCAAAUGGCGUAGCCGAUGAAUGAUCCGUUAAAAUUCGGAUAUUAGUAUUGUUUCGUUGAAAUCUACGGGAGGACAAAAUGGGAAUAUCCAGUCCGCCAAUGGCGGAUCCAAGUAACAAGUUAGUGGGGGUUAUGAAAAUCAGCCCCAAAAUCGCGCAAGCGACUUAAACACGUUUGAAGCGAGUUACAAGUGCGAUAAAAAGUGGAAAGUUUCUGUUUUCAAGAAAAGCCUCGUAGAUAGAAACAAUUUAGCCGUACCAUAAACCGACACAGGUGGGCGAGUUGAGUAUACAAAGGCGAUCGAGUGAAUCAUCCUUAAGGAACUCGGCAACAAAAGCUGGACGUAAGUUAGCAAGAUGUCCUGCCUUAAAUCGCAAGAUUUAGGGCCGCAGUGAAUGACCCUGAGCGACUGUUUAUCAAAAACACAGCUCCCUGCUAAAGUGAAAACUGAUGUAUAGGGGGUGACACCUGCCCAGUGCCAGUAAUUUAACAUUUUCUUUGACCUGAUGGAGCAAUCUUGAGGUGAGGAGAGGAUCUAAGAUCUGGUGAACGGCAGCAGUAACUAUAACUGUUCUAUGGUAGCGAAGUUCCUUGUCUGGUGAAUGAAUUCGCCAGUUCCAGAAGUGAUUCUGGAAAAAAUUCGGCUAAUAUCGGUGGAAUCCUAAAAAAGUAUUUACUUUUGUCUUAUAUUCGGGUAAUCUGAUUAUAGGAGGGACAAUACCGAGGGAAGUCGGGAAGUACCAAUUGGUAUAACCUUGACCCUGUAACGACUGAUAUAUGAGGUACCAGAUAAUCUGGAGAAAAACUCAUAUUAUACGCCGACGCUUAAUGAAUAAUUUAGGAUGGUAUCUUUCUGGUUUUGCUGACGGAGAAGGUAGUUUUUGUGUCUAUUUCUCGCCUCGAAGUCGAAUGACUUUGGGUUGGGAGGUUAGACCAAGCUUUUCUGUCGGGCAGAACACUUCAAGGCCUGAAGUUUUGAAUCUAUUUCUGCAAUAUUUUAAGUGUGGAAGUUUACGAGCUAAUAAGGGAGAUAAUACUGUAAAAUUUGAAAUUCGCAGUUUAAGACCGUUAUUAGAUAUUGUGAUUCCUCAUUUUAGAAAAUAUCCAGUACUUUCAAGCAAAGCUAAGGAAUUUGAGAAGUUUGUUGCUAUUUGUAACUUACUUUCCCAAAGUUCCCACUUAACUGAAGCUGGAUUUAAGAAAAUUGUUGAUUUAGCAUUUGAAAUGAAUGGUUUAGGAGCAAGAAGAUAUAGCAAACAAUACAUUCUAGAUAAUCUUAAGAUGAAGAUAUAGUCUGAUCCUACUAGUAAUAGUGGAGAAAUAUGGAGUUCAGACCCGCACGAAAGGUAGAACGACUUAGGGACUGUCUUGAGGGUGAACUCGGCGAAAUUGCAGUGGCUGUGAAGAUGCGGCCUUCCCAUACUUGGACAAAAAGACCCCGUGGAGCUUUACUGUAGCUUGUCCCUGAUUUGAAAAUUUGAUUGUGUAGCGUAGGAGGGAGCUUCGGCGACGAUGAAACACCUCUCUUUCGAAUUUUUAAGUCUCACCUCGACCCAUAAUCUGGGAGAGGGACAAGGCCUGGCGGGCAGUUUGACUGGGGCGGUCGCCUCCAAAAAAGUAACGGAGGCGUGCAAAGGUUGACUUAGGACGGAUGGCAAUCGUCCAUAAAGCGCAAAAGUAAAUAGUCAGCUUGACUGCGAGACCUACAAGUCGAGCAGGUGCGAAAGCAGGCUUUAGUGAUCCUGUGUCAGCUCAAGGGAGCGGCACGGCUUAUCGGAUAAAAGCUACCCCGGGGAUAACAGGCUAGUGAUACCCAACAGUCCACAAGGACGGUAUCGUUCGGCACCUUAAUAUAUCGGGGUGCGGUGGGAGUAAUCCCAUUAACCUGUUAUACAAAAUAUAUAAUUUGUCUUUUUGAAAAAAUACUAGCUAAAAUCGGUGAACUCCUAUCUAAAUCAAUAGAGGACAACACCGAGGGAAUCCUUCGAUUCUGAGAAUCUCAGGACGAGGACCCGUAACGACUUUUCCGCCUUUGGCGGGAGGAUUCAAGGUACCGAAGGUUACUUCGGAUUAAAACUUGGAUAAAAGGCUAGCUCCUUCAUUUGAGCGGGACUUGUCCCGAACAAGCGAAGGAUGAAGGUAUAGUCUAAGCUGCAGGUAACUGUAGAUUUUUAUGACAGCGAUGUCGGCUCAUCCUAUCCUGGGGCUGUAGAAGGUCCCAAGGGUCUGGCUGUUCGCCAGUUAAAAGGUUACGCGAGCUGGGUUCAGAACGAUGUAAAUCAGUUCGGACUCUAUCCAGUAUGGGCGUUUGGAUUCUUGAGGGGAGUUGUCUCUAGUACGAGAGGACCGAGAUGAGGCAACCUCUAGUGUGCCGGUUGUCACUACAGUGGCAGCGCCGGGUAGCUACGUUGUUUCCUGAUAAGUGCUGAAAGCAUCUAAGCACGAAGCAGACCCCAAGAUUAGGGAUCUUUAAGACCCCAAGUAGACUACUUGGUUGAUAGGAGAGCGGUGUAAGUGCAGUAAUGCAUUUAGCUUACUCUUACUAAUGGUCGUAGUUGAGAUUUUU
rfam:Candidatus Daviesbacteria bacterium RIFCSPLOWO2_01_FTLL_40_24 rifcsplowo2_01_scaffold_484, whole genome shotgun sequence.